rnacentral:rRNA from 1 species
GAUGAACGCUGGCGGCGUGCCUAAUACAUGCAAGUCGAGCGAACAGACGAGGAGCUUGCUUCUCUGACGUUAGCGGCGGACGGGUGAGUAACACGUGGAUAACCUACCUAUAAGACUGGGAUAACUUCGGGAAACCGGAGCUAAUACCGGAUAAUAUAUUGAACCGCAUGGUUCAAUAGUGAAAGACGGUUCUGCUGUCACUUAUAGAUGGAUCCGCGCUGCAUUAGCUAGUUGGUAAGGUAACGGCUUACCAAGGCGACGAUGCGUAGCCGACCUGAGAGGGUGAUCGGCCACACUGGAACUGAGACACGGUCCAGACUCCUACGGGAGGCAGCAGUAGGGAAUCUUCCGCAAUGGGCGAAAGCCUGACGGAGCAACGCCGCGUGAGUGAUGAAGGUCUUCGGAUCGUAAAACUCUGUUAUUAGGGAAGAACAAAUGUGUAAGUAACUGUGCACGUCUUGACGGUACCUAAUCAGAAAGCCACGGCUAACUACGUG